GGAGCUGUGGCUCCGUGGUUGAGCAUCUGCUUGGCAUGCAGAACGCCCCAGGUUCGAUUCCCAGUGUCUCCA
rnacentral:tRNA from 1 species